rnacentral:rRNA from 1 species
GAAUAUUGGGCAAUGGAGGCAACUCUGACCCAGCCAUGCCGCGUGCAGGAAGAAGGCCUUCUGGGUUGUAAACUGCUUUUGAAUGGGAACAAAGAAUCCUUGCGAGGAGAGAUGAGUGUACCAUUAGAAUAAGCACCGGCUAACUCCGUGCCAGCAGCCGCGGUAAUACGGAGGGUGCAAGCGUUGUCCGGAUUUAUUGGGUUUAAAGGGUGCGUAGGCGGUUUAUUAAGUCAGUGGUGAAAUCCUGCAGCUUAACUGUAGCAGUGCCAUUGAUACUGAUAAACUUGAGUACAGACGAGGUAGGCGGAAUUGAUAGUGUAGCGGUGAAAUGCAUAGAUACUAUCAAGAACACCGAUUGCGAAGGCAGCUUACUAGGCUGUAACUGACGCUGAGGCACGAAAGCGUGGCGAGAAAACAG